GUAACUUUUACCCCCAGAUUAAUUAGCAGAGCACUAAAGAAGCUACCCACUCCAGUUACAGAGUAGAAUGCAGAGUUUAGUUUUUGCAGCUACUCAGAGAAGACACAUGGAGAUUCUUGUGGAACUAAAUAAAGUGUCCUUCCAGGACCGCCACAAACUUGACAGCAUUCCAAGAACCUGUAUAUCAUUUCCUAUGUCUGUGGGCUAUGAGAAAAUUCAUUCAUUCAGAGUGUUACUGGCUGGAUUAUACAGUAUUCUUCAUUAGUCUUUAACAGUCAAGUGGAAAUUGUUUCCACUAUUUCACUAUGAAACAAUGUUUUUGACAUCAUUUCCAUUAGGAAUCAGUACAGAAAUGCAGAAUACAUAUUAUUUAUUUCCAUCCACCUAGAGUUCAGCAAUAUGAAUCAAGUUGGAAACUUUCAGAAAACUAAAAUACCUACUAUUUCUCUGCUAUCCAAUUACUAACUUAUUUCAGAAUUAAAUAAAUGAUGAGUUUCCUUCAUCUGUGGCUGCCAAGAUUUUUUAAUUCAAUGGCUUACUCUAUGUAGGACUCUGGCUUGGAAAUAGCUUUGAAAUGACAAUAUAUUAUGCUUAAGUUCUGGACCAAGAUCUUCAUUACCAUUCUGUUUAGGUGGUUGCAAGUUCCAGAGGUUAGCUGUGAUACAAGAAGUUCAGAACAGAAUCUUGUGGCACCUUUCCGGUUAUUGUUCUAUGUUACCAUAAAUCUGCUUGACUUUGGGGUGCCACAAGCCUUUUUUUGUUUGUGUUCACAUGGCACAAUGCUAAUAUAUCUAUAUAUCGAUAUCUAUAUCAAAAUGAAAAUGACCUUAUUUUAUUAUAGGAAAUAAUCAGUUGCUCAAUAAAACAUUCUAAGAAAGGAAAGGUUUUUCAAAAUGAGCCAAGCUCUACUCUACCUGUUGGUUUUUUAAU